GUGGUGGAAUACUUUGUUCAUGCCUAAACACAUUUUCAGGAUCCACUCUAGUCUUUAUCUGAACCAACUUGUUAAAAUUACCCUUAAAAUACCUAUAACCCCAACCAGUUGCUUCUAUAUAGCUUGUACUAUUCUUAGAGUUAAUUCCCAAAUCAAGAUCCCUAUAAUUCACAUAAGCUUCCCUUGGAAAUUUAGACACAUAAGGAGUCAUAUAGUUAUAAAGCUUCCUAAUCCAGUCUACAUGCUUUGCAACAUUCUUGUCACCCUCUUGCCAUAUAGACAAGUACUGAAUUUUAUACAAUGUUCCAUUUCUAUGUGGAAAAGGGCUAUCAGAUUCUGAAAAUUCACUCAUUUUUCCACCAUAUGGAUUCCAAAUCAUCAAAGGACUAUCUUCACUCAACAGCCUCUGCCACAAUCCUUCAAUACCAGUUUCUGGUAUUGGUUCCCUCACAAAAUCUGAUUUUGCUUUGAAAGAAUUCUUGAAUGUUGGUUUUCCUUUAAGAAGAACUUCAGGUGGUGUAUCACUUGGAAAUCCUGCAAUGUAAAGCACUGAUUUGAUCCAACUAGUUUCUUGACAAUCUUUCCUUGUCAAACCCAAUUCAGGAAAACUUGUUUUCAUGACUUGAAGUAGUGUUCUUGCUUCACCAAGAAAAACAGCAUUAUAAGAAUUUGUAAUAGUUCUUUGAGUUUUGUUUCCAACACUAGCAGCUGGUUGGAUGAUGACUCUAAUGAAGAGAUUUUCAUCAAUAAAAGGUGCUACUUCUUGCCAUCUAUGAAGAAUUUUUGUAGCACCUUGUUCUAGAGUUUUAGUGACAGUAAAAACUGUCACUGUUGGUGGAACAGGAACAAGCUUUAUCUUCCACCAAAGAAGUAUACCAAAGCUUCCACCUCCACCACCUCUUAUAGCCCAAAAUAGAUCCUCUCCCAUGGCUUUUCUGUCAAGAAUGUUACCCUUCGCAUCAACGAUUCGAGCAUCUAAGACAUUAUCAACACCAAGACCAUAUUUUCUCAUCAAUGUUCCAUAUGCACCUCCUGUUAUGUGUCCACCAACACCUAAGCUUGUGCACAGGCCUGCAGGGUAACCAAGAACAGAACUUUUCUCGUAUAUUCUGUAAUAGACUUCACCGAUAGUGGCACCGGAUUGAACCCAAGCAGUGUUGGUUUUAGUGUCGAUGCUUAUGCCGCGAAGUUUGAUUAAAUCGACAACUAUGAAAGGUGUUUCGAUUUUGGAAACAUAUGAAAGUCCUUCAUAGUCAUGGCCACCACUUCUUACUCUUAGAUGGAUUCCAAGUUUCUUGGAGCAAAUUACGGCUGCUUGGACAUGGGAAUCUUGGGAGGGUGUGAAUAUGAAUUCGGGUUUCGGUGUAGAUGGUGCCAAACACCUUAGGUUCAUUGCUAAGGAAUCAAGGAUGGUUGCGAAUGAAGGUUCAUUUGGAGUGUAAAUUGUUGUAUGAAAUGGAUAUGUUCUGUCUGAAUUCAUGUUGAGACAUUGGACAAAACUGUCUUGAAGUAAUAAAGAGGAAACUUUUAAUGAAAGUGAUGAUAAUAGAAGGACUAAAAUUGGCAAGGGUAAGAUUGGUGAAUCCAUGAUUUUUGUUUGUGUUCUCGUUUUUGUGGUGAAGGAAGGUAUCACCAAUGCUCUAUAUAUAAUGUGAGCAACUAUGGGAAAAAAUUGAAACAGUGCAUACACAUGAAGAGUGUUGGUAUUGUUUUAAGGUCAAUGUUCUAAAUUUAAUUAUGAUAGUGUUGAAUAUAAACUUUUUUCAUUUUAACUUGUUUCCAAUAACAUGUAACACUUUAAACAAGGAACUCGAGUGGUUAAU
rnacentral:lncRNA from 1 species